GCCAUUUCACCCUGAAGUGGAACACACAUGCCUGAAACACAAGCACAUACACAUGCACUCAAUUGAUCCUGACAAAGGCCUGGUUGAUAAAGGGAGGGGUAUAGAAGUGUCGCAUCCAAUGGGAUGCACCGAGAAUAAAACAAGUUGCCAUCAAUUCAAGUCGUAGACUUCAAAGUGGACACAUCCUUGGAGAAGAAGGUAGCAUGCAAUGGUGUAUGAGUUUGGUCCCUCAAACUCAGUCCUGAUACUGUCCUCCUGCGGACAGAGUCCACGAUUGAUCAGCCGGAUCAAUCGGCAUCGCCCUCGGCCGUUGUUGCCCGCUCUGACGCAAGCCAAAGGGGGUCGGCCAAGAGCACAUUGACUGCGUGAUCACUUAAAACACACACACAUAUACGAAGCAGCACUCAUUUGCAAAACAUGCACCCUCAGGCCUGCCAUUUGCACAGCAAAAGUGAGGCAGAGCCACAGGAAGAGUUAGAGACGGAUUUAAAGACUGAGCCAGAUGCAGCCACCCUCGCCAGGUGGGACUCAAGGAAUGGUGACACCUUUGGACAUACUUGCCGACUGAACUAAAGUCAUACAAAUUCUUAUUCGGAUCAUGGAUGGGCUUCAAAAUAUCAGUGUCCAGAUUGACCCGAGCUCACGGAUGAGCCUUGAGAUGUGAGGAUUAAUCACAGGAGCCUGCGUCACUACAAACAGUCCAUGGAGUUGUCUGGCACCAGUCCGAGUGGAGGUGCUUUUCCCGGAGUGCAGG